UACGUAGGGUGCGAGCGUUAAUCGGAAUUACUGGGCGUAAAGCGUGCGCAGGCGGUUCGUUGUGUCGGCGGUGAAAUCCCCGGGCUCAACCUGGGAAUGGCCGUUGAAACUGGCGAACUGGAGUGUGGCAGAGGGGGGUGGAAUUCCGCGUGUAGCAGUGAAAUGCGUAGAGAUGCGGAGGAACACCGAUGGCGAAGGCAGCCCCCUGGGCUGACACUGACGCCCAGGCACGAAAGCGUGGGGAGCAAACAGG
rnacentral:rRNA from 1 species